CACGUAGGCGGAUUGGAAAGUUGGAGGUGAAAUCCCAGGGCUCAACCUUGGAACUGCCUUCAAAACUCCCAGUCUUGAGGUCGAGAGAGGUAAGUGGAAUUCCGAGUGUAGAGGUGAAAUUCGUAGAUAUUCGGAGGAGCACCAGUGGCGAAGGCGGCUUACUGGCUCGAUACUGACGCUGAGGUGCGAAAGCGUGGGGAGCAAACA
rnacentral:rRNA from 1 species